CAGUAGCCGCGGUAAUACGUAGGGUGCAAGCGUUAAUCGGAAUUACUGGGCGUAAAGCGUGCGCAGGCGGUUAUAUAAGACAGAUGUGAAAUCCCCGGGCUCAACCUGGGAACUGCAUUUGUGACUGUAUAGCUAGAGUACGGCAGAGGGGGAUGGAAUUCCGCGUGUAGCAGUGAAAUGCGUAGAUAUGCGGAGGAACACCGAUGGCGAAGGCAAUCCCCUGGGCCUGUACUGACGCUCAUGCACGAAAGCGUGGGGAGCAAACAGGAUUAGAGACCCGUGUAGUCCCUGUCUCUUAUAC
rnacentral:rRNA from 1 species